GAUGAACGCUAGCGGCAGGCCUAAUACAUGCAAGUCGAGGGGUAUGGGUUGCUUGCAGCCCAGAGACCGGCGCACGGGUGCGUAACGCGUAUGCAAUCUACCUUAAUCAGGGGGAUAGCCCGGAGAAAUCCGGAUUAACACCGCAUAACAUUGAGUUGUGGCAUCACAGUUCAAUCAAAUAUUUAUAGGAUUAAGAUGAGCAUGCGUGACAUUAGUUAGUUGGUGAGGUAACGGCUCACCAAGACCACGAUGUCUAGGGGAUCUGAGAGGAUGACACCCCACACUGGUACUGAGACACGGACCAGACUGCUACGGGAGGCAGCAGUAAGGAAUAUUGGUCAAUGGGCGCAAGCCUGAAACAGCCAUGCCGCGUGCAGGAAGACGGCCCUAUGAGUUGUAAACUGCUUUUGUACAGGAAUAAACCUUCUCUUGAGAGAGAAGCUGAACGUACGGUAAGAAUAAGGAUCGGCUAACUCCGUG
rnacentral:rRNA from 1 species